AUCCUGGCUCAGAGUGAACGCUGGCGGCGUGCUUAACACAUGCAAGUCGAACGAGAACGGAUUAUAGCUUGCUAUAAUUGUCAGCUAAGUGGCGCACGGGUGAGUAAUGUAUAGGUAAUAUGCCUCUUACUAAGGGAUAACAAUUGGAAACGAUUGCUAAUACCUUAUACUCCUUAUUAACAGAAGUUAAUAAGGGAAAGAUUUAUUGGUAAGAGAUUAGCCUGUAUUGUAUCAGUUAGUUGGUGGGGUAAUGGCUUACCAAGACUAUGACACAUAACUGGUUUGAGAGGAUGAUCAGUCACACUGGAACUGAGACACGGUCCAGACUCCUACGGGAGGCAGCAGUGGGGAAUAUUGCACAAUGGACGAAAGUCUGAUGCAGCAACGCCGCGUGGAGGAUGACACAUUUCGGUGCGUAAACUCCUUUUAUAUGAGAAGAUAAUGACGGUAUUAUAUGAAUAAGCACCGGCUAACUCCGUG
rnacentral:rRNA from 1 species